UACAGAGGUCCCAAGCGUUGUUCGGAAUCACUGGGCGUAAAGGGCGUGUAGGCGGUCAAGUAAGUGGGAUGUGAAAUCCCUCGGCUCACCCGAGGACCUGCAUCCCAAACUGCUUGGCUUGAGUGUGGGAGAGGUGAGUGGAACUGCGAGUGUAGAGGUGAAAUUCGUAGAUAUUCGCAAGAACACCAGUGGCGAAGGCGGCUCACUGGCCCAUUACGUGACGCUGAGGCACGAAAGCGUGGGGAGCA
rnacentral:rRNA from 1 species